rnacentral:rRNA from 1 species
AUUGAACGCUGGCGGCAUGCCUUACACAUGCAAGUCGAACGGCAGCACGGGUGCUUGCACCUGGUGGCGAGUGGCGAACGGGUGAGUAAUACAUCGGAACAUGUCCUGUAGUGGGGGAUAGCCCGGCGAAAGCCGGAUUAAUACCGCAUACGAUCCACGGAUGAAAGCGGGGGACCUUCGGGCCUCGCGCUAUAGGGUUGGCCGAUGGCUGAUUAGCUAGUUGGUGGGGUAAAGGCCUACCAAGGCGACGAUCAGUAGCUGGUCUGAGAGGACGACCAGCCACACUGGGACCGAGACACGGCCCAGACUCCUACGGGAGGCAGCAGUGGGGAAUUUUGGACAAUGGGCGAAAGCCUGAUCCAGCAAUGCCGCGUGUGUGAAGAAGGCCUUCGGGUUGUAAAGCACUUUUGUCCGGAAAGAAAUCCUUGGCUCUAAUACAGUCGGGGGAUGACGGUACCGGAAGAAUAAGCACCGGCUAACUACGUG